rnacentral:rRNA from 1 species
GACGAACGCUGGCGGCGUGCUUAACACAUGCAAGUCGAACGGAAAGGCCCUGCUUUUGUGGGGUGCUCGAGUGGCGAACGGGUGAGUAACACGUGAGUAACCUGCCCUUGACUUUGGGAUAACUUCAGGAAACUGGGGCUAAUACCGGAUAGGAGCUCCUGCUGCAUGGUGGGGGUUGGAAAGUUUCGGCGGUUGGGGAUGGACUCGCGGCUUAUCAGCUUGUUGGUGGGGUAGUGGCUUACCAAGGCUUUGACGGGUAGCCGGCCUGAGAGGGUGACCGGCCACAUUGGGACUGAGAUACGGCCCAGACUGCUACGGGAGGCAGAAGGGGGGAAUAUUGCACAAUGGGCGGAAGCCUGAUGCAGCGACGCCGCGUGCGGGAUGACGGCCUUCGGGUUGUAAACCGCUUUCGCCUGUGACGAAGCGUGAGUGACGGUAAUGGGUAAAGAAGCACCGGCUAACUACGUG